rnacentral:rRNA from 1 species
CGUAGGGUGCGAGCGUUAAUCGGAAUUACUGGGCGUAAAGCGUGCGCAGGCGGUUUAGUAAGACAGGCGUGAAAUCCCCGGGCUCAACCUGGGAACUGCGCUUGUGACUGCUAAGCUAGAGUACGGCAGAGGGGGUGGAAUUCCACGUGUAGCAGUGAAAUGCGUAGAGAUGUGGAGGAACACCAAUGGCGAAGGCAGCCCCCUGGGUCGAUACUGACGCUCAUGCACGAAAGCGUGGGUAGCAAACAGGAUUAGAUACCCUGGUAGUCCACGCCCUAAACGAUGUCAACUAGGUGUUGGGAGGUAAAACCUUUUAGUACCGGAGCUAACGCGUGAAGUUGACCGCCUGGGGAGUACGGCCGUAAGGUUA